rnacentral:ncRNA from 2 species
AAGAUGCACCAGGGGUGCCUGCACGGCUGCAUCUGCAUGAGCCUUGGCUAUUAAGUUAGCACGCUCGCAGUUCGGGCUGAGACAGUCCCUUCAAAUCUGAUCAGGGUGAUGCCUGCGUAGGGAGCGUUCAUUAUUUUUUCU